UACGUAGGGCGCAAGCGUUGUCCGGAAUUAUUGGGCGUAAAGAGCUCGUAGGCGGUUUGUCGCGUCUGCUGUGAAAACCCGAGGCUCAACCUCGGGCCUGCAGUGGGUACGGGCAGACUAGAGUGUGGUAGGGGAGACUGGAAUUCCUGGUGUAGCGGUGGAAUGCGCAGAUAUCAGGAGGAACACCAAUGGCGAAGGCAGGUCUUUGGGCCACAACUGACGCUGAGGAGCGAAAGCGUGGGGAGCGAACAGG
rnacentral:rRNA from 1 species